CCCUUAGAUGUUCUGGGCCGCACGCGCGCUACACUGAUUCAUGCAACAAGUUUUGUCCUUGGCUGAUAGGCCUGGGUAAUCUUUGAACGUGAAUCGUGAUGGGGAUAGAUGAUUGCAAUUAUUCAUCUUCAACGAGGAAUUCCUAGUAAACGCAAGUCAUCAGCUUGCAUUGAUUACGUCCCUGCCCUUUGUACACACCGCCUGUCGCACCUACCGAUUGAAUGGUCCGGUGAAAUCUUCGGAUCUGAGAGAUGUCUGAUUAAUUUCGGACGCCUUUUGGAAAAGUUGCUUAAACCUUACCAUUUAGAGGAAGGUGAAGUCGUAACA
rnacentral:rRNA from 1 species